ACGAACGCUGGCGGCGUGCUUAACACAUGCAAGUCGAACGGAAAGGCCCUGCUUUUGUGGGGUGCUCGAGUGGCGAACGGGUGAGUAACACGUGAGUAACCUGCCCUUGACUUUGGGAUAACUUCAGGAAACUGGGGCUAAUACCGGAUAGGAGCUACUGCUGCAUGGUGGGGGUUGGAAAGUUUCGGCGGUUGGGGAUGGACUCGCGGCUUAUCAGCUUGUUGGUGGGGUAGUGGCUUACCAAGGCUUUGACGGGUAGCCGGCCUGCGAGGGUGACCGGCCACAUUGGGACUGAGAUACGGCCCAGACUCCUACGGGAGGCAGCAGUGGGGAAUAUUGCACAAUGGGCGGAAGCCUGAUGCAGCAACGCCGCGUGCGGGAUGACGGCCUUCGGGUUGUAAACCGCUUUCGCCUGUGACGAAGCGUGAGUGACGGUAAUGGGUAAAGAAGCACCGGCUAACUACGUG
rnacentral:rRNA from 1 species